rnacentral:rRNA from 1 species
AUGAACCACUUCGGUGGGGAUUAGUGGCGAACGGGUGAGUAACACGUGGGCAAUCUGCCCUUCACUCUGGGACAAGCCCUGGAAACGGGGUCUAAUACCGGAUAACACCUUCCUCCUCCUGGCGGAAGGUUAAAAGCUCCGGCGGUGAAGGAUGAGCCCGCGGCCUAUCAGCUUGUUGGUGAGGUAAUGGCUCACCAAGGCGACGACGGGUAGCCGGCCUGAGAGGGCGACCGGCCACACUGGGACUGAGACACGGCCCAGACUCCUACGGGAGGCAGCAGUGGGGAAUAUUGCACAAUGGGCGAAAGCCUGAUGCAGCGACGCCGCGUGAGGGAUGACGGCCUUCGGGUUGUAAACCUCUUUCAGCAGGGAAGAAGCGAAAGUGACGGUACCUGCAGAAGAAGCGCCGGCUAACUACGUGCCAGCAGCCGCGGUAAUACGUAGGGCGCAAGCGUUGUCCGGAAUUAUUGGGCGUAAAGAGCUCGUAGGCGGCUUGUCACGUCGGGUGUGAAAGCCCGGGGCUUAACCCCGGGUCUGCAUUCGAUACGGGCUAGCUAGAGUGUGGUAGGGGAGAUCGGAAUUCCUGGUGUAGCGGUGAAAUGCGCAGAUAUCAGGAGGAACACGGUGGCGAAGGCGGAUCUCUGGGCCAUUACUGACGCUGAGGAGCGAAAGCGUGGGGAGCGAACAGGAUUAGAUACCCUGGUAGUCCACGCCGUAAACGGUGGGAACUAGGUGUUGGCGAC